AGUCUACAAAACCCCACAUCCCCUGAGAAUUCUCUCGCCUGCCUUAGGCACUUAGGCUCCGGGAGAUUGCAAAUAACCUGCUUUCUUUCUGUUCCCGGGCUGCGUUCGGACUCCUGUCAGAUAGUAAAUCCUAAGUGGCGUCGGACCCCUGUCAGAGAGUAAAUCUCAAGUAAGGUACCUGCCAUCGGCAGAUUUGAGCUUUCUUCUUGGACACCUAAUACCCACAGUCCUCCAGGCUCCGGUAGACUGCAAAUGACCUGCUUUCUUUCUGUUCCCGGGCUGCGUUUGGACCCCUGUCGGACAGUAAAUCCCAAGUAAGGUACCUGCCCUCGGCAGAUUUGAGCUUUCUUCUUGGACACCUAAUACCCACAGUCCUCCAGGCUGUAGAUGAAGGGGUUCAGCAUGGAGGUGAUCACCGUGUACAUCACUGAGGCCACUGCAGCCUUUCUCGGGGAAGAUGACACAUCUGAACUGAGGUACCCUCCAAAGCCUGUUCCGUAAAAUCAGCAAACAACUGACAGGAUAACUUCAGGAAGUGGGUAUUAAUUCUCACGGUAUAAGUGAAGACAUUAAGCACCAGAGUUUAAGUAGCUUGAUCCACUGAAAGAGAUUCAACUGUGUGGAACCUAUGCCGUGGAGAAUUGCUUUCUGCCAUUGUUAUCGUCCAGCAGUUGCCGAAUAGCUCUGACCUGAGCAAAGCAGUGAAACGCGGUGCUGUUGAGUGGGUUGCCACUGCACCUUUUUCAACUACUCUAGUCUUGUGGAGAAAAUACCCCUUCUAAAUUUUUUCUUCAUUGAAUACUCUCCCUCAGCUCCAGAGUACCAUAUAGAGUUUUCUUGUAUUUUAGAGUUACUGUUUUAUCAAAGUUUACCAGUCUUUUGUAUUACAUUUCUCCUGUCUAAAUCGACUGUGUGGUUUCUACUCAUUAUGGAUAUAGAUUGAUACAAACUCAAUAAAUAUUUUUGAAUGA
rnacentral:lncRNA from 1 species